CUCACACCUCACCUAUGGGUGUGUAUCAAGAAAGGGGGAGACGAGAUCCGAAUCUCGACCGACAUCAGUAGUUACCCCCAACCAAGAGGUCAUAGGUUAAUAAAAGUAACGAAAAUGAUUACCCAAGUGAUUUGAUGCAGAUGACUGUUGCUGAUGACAGGGUAAUACCAGCACAGGCAAUACUUGAAUGUCUUGUGGUUACGAUGGCUGGCUCAGGCCUAAAAUCUGCACAAAGGAAAAAAGUUACAGAGUGCAAACAAACUGCCAUGCAUCGACAAGGGGCUUACAUGAUAAAUGCUGGUCAAGAACUAUAUAAAAAUUUCACAAAUGUGAAACAGGUUCAACACUUACAUUUAAGCUCCCAUAAUCAUUGCAUUUGUAUUCUUUAGUUUGAUUUACCUGCCAAACAGCAUGGAGUUGAUCGAGAUCUAGCAUGGAGAGCCCGAGCAGCGACCCCAGAGUUCACACGACACGACCACAUUUUUGUCAUUUUAUUAGUUGCUGUGCUCUUUUUUCGUGCAGCAACGUGUACGUUUC